rnacentral:rRNA from 1 species
CCUGGAGACUCCUACGGGAGGCAGCAGUGGGGAAUUUUGGACAAUGGGCGCAAGCCUGAUCCAGCCAUGCCGCGUGUCUGAAGAAGGCCUUCGGGUUGUAAAGGACUUUUGUUAGGGAAGAAAAAGGAGCGGUUAAUACCCGUUUCUGCUGACGGUACCUAAAGAAUAAGCACCGGCUAACUACGUGCCAGCAGCCGCGGUAAUACGUAGGGUGCGAGCGUUAAUCGGAAUUACUGGGCGUAAAGCGAGCGCAGACGGUUACUUAAGCAGGAUGUGAAAUCCCCGGGCUCAACCUGGGAACUGCGUUCUGAACUGGGUAGCUAGAGUAUGUCAGAGGGGGGUAGAAUUCCACGUGUAGCAGUGAAAUGCGUAGAGAUGUGGAGGAAUACCGAUGGCGAAGGCAGCCCCCUGGGAUAAUACUGACGUUCAUGCUCGAAAGCGUGGGUAGCAAACAGGAUUAGAUACCCUUGUAGUCC